CCCAGACUCCUACGGGAGGCAGCAGUGGGGGAUAUUGCACAAUGGGGGGAACCCUGAUGCAGCGACGCCGCGUGGGUGAAGGAGCGUUUCGGCGCGUAAAGCACUAUCGGCAGGGAAGAAGGAGGACGGUACCUGACUAAGAAGCCCCGGCUAACUACGUGCCAGCAGCCGCGGUAAUACGUAGGGGGCAAGCGUUAUCCGGAUUUACUGGGUGUAAAGGGGGCGCAGACGGCAGCGCAAGCCAGGAGUGAAAGCCCGGGGCCCAACCCCGGGACUGCUCUUGGAACUGCGCGGCUGGAGUGCAGGAGGGGCAGGCGGAAUUCCUGGUGUAGCGGUGAAAUGCGUAGAUAUACGGAGGAACACCAGUGGCGAAGGCGGCCUGCUGGACAUUAACUGACGCUGAGGCGCGAAAGCGUGGGGAGCAAACAGGAUUAGAUACCCCAGUACG
rnacentral:rRNA from 1 species